CCAUGAUCUAGAUUUCACAUGCUUCUGCCAAAUGACUAAUAUGGCCUGCUGGAUCCCGAGCACACGGGGGCUUUGAGGUCACACUCAUCUGACAGGGCUGUGGCACUGGUGGCUCAACUCCAGAAGCAAAGCAGAUACCAGCACAUUCAAACAGUGUAUCCUUUACAUAUCAAAGUGAGAAAUAAGAAAGCGACAUGAUCACAAGAUCAGAAAGAUGUGAGGUUCUGGUUCAUGGAUCAUAUAGUGGAGCCAUCCCUGACUCUGCUGAACACCGAGCUUCCUCCAUUCAGAUUCAGACAUCAGAUGGGUUUUAGGGACCAGCUUGGCUAUGUCCUUGGGCAACAUGACAUGCCGGUACUCGAACUCCUCGUCGUCGUAUAUGUCCGAAUAGUAGAUUUGUUUGUGGGACAUGAUUGCUCUGUCGGAGGGCGCUCAGUCCCGCGCCGAAAACUAACAAUUUUUUAAAGGCUUCUAAAUAUUAACAAAUGUUAACAACCGUUUAUAUUCCUGAGGAAAGUGUUCACAAGCCCACAGAGGCUGAGUUUUCUAUCAUGUUCUGUCCUGUUGUCCUGCUCAAGUCCAGCCAUGGUUUCUCCGCUGAAACAAACACAGCAGUCCCAAAACACGCACUUCCUGUCCUGGCUGGAAUUUGACUGGGGAGGUGGAGAGGAGAUGGGAUCUGGACAAGACCGACCGGAAGGAAGAGGACAUUCUGGGCACAAGCUCUUCCUCUCCUGAGCUUCUGGUCCUGCUCGGGCCAGGCACCCCUGCUAGAUCCCCACCAGGCACCCAGGCUUCAGAACACAGGGCAAAAGCUGUCACAUGCAGAAAGAAAACAGAGCCUCCCAGCAAAGCUGUGAGGGGAGGUAGGGAGAUUCAGCCAGCUGUGACACUGCCAAGGACAGAGUUGCCUGUUGUCAUGGAGAUGUGCCCAUAAGAACUUCUGACUGGGCCUUAUAGGUCACAGCACCUCAGGGUCCUCUCAGGAACUGACAGGCCCAUGCUUCUGGCCGGGCUAGGGCUCCUCCUCCUGCUGCACCCCUCUAUGCACUGUGCCCACUCAGAAGGACAAAG
rnacentral:lncRNA from 1 species